AACGAACGCUGGCGGCAUGCCUAACACAUGCAAGUCGAACGGGAUCCAGGCUUCGGCCUGGUGAGAGUGGCGGACGGGUGAAUAACACGUGGGAACCUGCCUUUUGGUUCGGGAUAACCGCGGGAAACUGCGGCUAAUACCGGAUGCUCCCGAGAGGGGAAAGAUUUAUCGCCAGAAGAGGGGCCCGCGUCCGAUUAGGUAGUUGGUGAGGUAAUGGCUCACCAAGCCGACGAUCGGUAGCUGGUCUGAGAGGAUGAUCAGCCACACUGGGACUGAGAUACGGCCCAGACUCCUACGGGAGGCAGCAGUGGGAAUAUUGGACAAUGGGGGCAACCCUGAUCCAGCAAUGCCGCGUGAGUGAUGAAGGCCUUAGGGUUGUAAAGCUCUUUUGCCAGGGAAGAUGAUGACUGUACCUGGAGAAUAAGCCCCGGCUAACUUCGUGCCAGCAGCCGCGGUAAU
rnacentral:rRNA from 1 species